rnacentral:rRNA from 2 species
CGGAGAAAACUUUGCAAUGUGCGAAAGCACGACAAGGUUAAUCCGAGUGGUUUCUUGCUAAAGGAACCUUUUGUCGGUCCUAGAAACACCGAUGAAUAAGGGUGGGCAAGUUCUGGUGUCAGCCGCCGCGGUAAAACCAGCACCUCAAGUUGUCAGGAUGAUUAUUAGGCCUAAAGCAUCCGUAGCCGGCUCUGUUAGUUUUCGGUUAAAUCUGUACGCUUAACGUACAGGCUGCCGGGAAUACUGCAGAGCUAGGGAGUGGGAGAGGUAGACGGUACUCGGGUAGGAAGGGGGUAAAAAUCCUUUGAUCUAUUGGAUGACCACCUGUGGCGAAGGGCGGUCUACCA